CCCUCUGCAUCUCUGUAAAAAUAUGCUCAGGUCAACUAGGAGAUGAUGCAAGCCAAGGCGCUCACACCGAUUUAAGAUGGUGUGGGUGAUCAAUAGAAGACAAAUGAAUACACUGAUGGAAGGCCAUGUCAAAGUACCUUUCUAUUUUGUAUUUUAUUUUUGUUUAGGAUCUACUAUAAUUUCCCAAAAAGUUUUUAUUCCUGAAAUUCAUUGUAUAUACAUGCUUGGUUUUACUUCAGUUAAUAUAUAAUGGGCAUUCUAU